rnacentral:rRNA from 1 species
AUUGAACGCUGGCGGCAUGCUUUACACAUGCAAGUCGAACGGUAACAGGCCGCAAGGUGCUGACGAGUGGCGCACGGGUGAGUAAUGCAUCGGAACGUGCCCAGUCGUGGGGGAUAACUACUCGAAAGAGUAGCUAAUACCGCAUACGAUCUAUGGAUGAAAGCGGGGGACCGUAAGGCCUCGCGCGAUUGGAGCGGCCGAUGUCAGAUUAGGUAGUUGGUGGGGUAAAGGCUCACCAAGCCAACGAUCGGUAGCUGGUCUGAGAGGACGACCAGCCACACUGGGACUGAGACACGGCCCAGACUCCUACGGGAGGCAGCAGUGGGGAAUUUUGGACAAUGGGCGCAAGCCUGAUCCAGCAAUGCCGCGUGCAGGAAGAAGGCCUUCGGGUUGUAAACUGCUUUUGUACGGAACGAAACGGCUCUGGUUAAUACCCGGGGCUAAUGACGGUACCGGAAGAAUAAGCACCGGCUAACUACGUG